rnacentral:rRNA from 1 species
GAACCCUACGGGACGCAGCAGUCGGGAAUAUUGCGCAAUGGAGGAAACUCUGACGCAGUGACGCCGCGUAUAGGAAGAAGUUUUUCGGAAUGUAAACUAUUGUCGUUAGGGAAGAGAAAGGACAGUACCUAAGGAGGAAGCUCCGGCUAACUACGUGCCAGCAGCCGCGGUAAUACGUAGGGAGCGAGCGUUAUCCGGAUUCAUUGGGUUUAAAGGGUGCGUAGGUUGUUUUAUAAGUUAGCGGUGAAAUACCGAUGCUCAACAUCGGGGCUGCCGCUAAUACUGUAGGACUAGAGAUCGGAUGC